rnacentral:tRNA from 1 species
GGUGGGGUCGCAUAGUGGACUAGUGCGCCUGUCUUGAAAACAGGUAGGGUUGCAAGACUCUCGUGAGUUCGAAUCUCACCCCCACCG